rnacentral:lncRNA from 1 species
CAGUACAGUACAGUAAUGAUUACAAAGAUGAUAAGAACGAAGGUAAAGUGAUUGAAUAAAUACAAUGUACAGGUUGUCACAAGUUCUAGUAAGUGUGGUCCACUCCUAUUACGAUUUAUUCACUUGUUUCUGAUUUCUAUUGAGCUCCUAUAUCAUUUGUGAUUAUCUACAGCUUUACAUAAUCAGUACAUAUUUCGUACUGACGUCCCCCACGGGGGACCUGCAUUUCAUGCUGCAGGCACAGGUACC